rnacentral:rRNA from 1 species
AGUGAACGCUGGCGGUAGGCCUGACACAUGCAAGUCGAACGGCAGCACAGAGGAGCUUGCUCCUUGGGUGGCGAGUGGCGGACGGGUGAGGAAUACAUCGGAAUCUACUCUGUCGUGGGGGAUAACGUAGGGAAACUUACGCUAAUACCGCAUACGACCUACGGGUGAAAGCAGGGGAUCUUCGGACCUUGCGCGAUUGAAUGAGCCGAUGUCGGAUUAGCUAGUUGGCGGGGUAAAGGCCCACCAAGGCGACGAUCCGUAGCUGGUCUGAGAGGAUGAUCAGCCACACUGGAACUGAGACACGGUCCAGACUCCUACGGGAGGCAGCAGUGGGGAAUAUUGGACAAUGUGCGCAAGCCUGAUCCAGCCAUACCGCGUGGGUGAAGAAGGCCUUCGGGUUGUAAAGCCCUUUUGUUGGGAAAGAAAUCCAUCUGGUUAAUACCCGGGUGGGAUGACGGUACCCAAAGAAUAAGCACCGGCUAACUUCGUGCCAGCCGCCGCAGUAA